ensembl:lncRNA
GUUUCACAUGCAUUCAAACCUGCAAGCAGCAACUGUGCAUUUAAAGAUCGAAGACACAAAGUUUGGUGGAUUUAUACAGGAGUUACUGCAUACCAGCCAUACACACACUCAUUUUUAGCAGCAGGGGAAUUUCACACCUCACAGUGUGCACCUGUCUUCCAUUGUAUGAAAAUAGCAGUCACAAUCCCCCACUCAAAUCCUAAAUGCAGUGCUCUGGUGACUAUUUAUUAUUUGUCAUAGUAAAUGAGCCCUGCACUAGUUGGAUUAAAACAACACUUUUUGCCCCCCUGGUGGUCCUCCUUGGGUCCUCGUACUCUGGGCCCUCUGGAUGUCUGGGACCUGGAUCUCCUCCAUACCUGCUUCAUGUCCUAGGGGACGGGGCUAUGGCUCCCCACACUCACUAGCAGAUCAUUACAUGGAGAAACCUUUUGAAUACAAGUGUGCUGAUCCACACAGGUGUUCACAGACACAAACUACAGCUUUCUUGGCUGCUGCCUCAAAGCACAUUGUGCCCUGUCGAUCUUGCGUGCUGCACAGUAACAUGUAAUAUUUAGUAUCUACUUUUAUCUCUCCUGUUAGCUAGUUUAUUGUGAUGGUGUUGUAUUUAUUAUGUUGCUCUUUUUUUGUUUGUUUUUCUUUUUUUUCUUCCCCUCUUUCUCACCAUCUCUUCCCCCCUCUAUUUUUUUCUCUUCCUCUUUCUUUCAUUCUUUCUCCCUGUCCUAUCCCCCAGUCAUGUCUGUCCUGUCUGUAACAACCGAAAAUCAAAUCAAAUAAAUACAUAAUUAUAAUAAAGGUCAAUCAAAUGGACCAAUAUGGCAAGGCCAUGAUAAUCCAGUUGGUAAAGUAAAUCCGCUUGGCAUCUUUCUUGGCCUUCAGACAACAAUUCUGAUGGCUAAACUGUCCUGUUUGGACAGGCAAAAAACAAACAAACCAAAAACACUUUCAGCCUUCAUCUUCACGUGCAUCUCAGCAUGCAACUAGUUAGCCCACUGUUGCAGUA